rnacentral:rRNA from 1 species
AUUGAACGCUGGCGGCAUGCUUUACACAUGCAAGUCGAACGGUAACAGGCCUUCGGGCGCUGACGAGUGGCGAACGGGUGAGUAAUGCAUCGGAACGUGCCCAGUCGUGGGGGAUAACUAUCCGAAAGGAUAGCUAAUACCGCAUACGAUCUGCGGAUGAAAGCGGGGGACCUUCGGGCCUCGCGCGAUUGGAGCGGCCGAUGUCAGAUUAGGUAGGUGGGUGGGUAAAGGGUCACCAAGCAAACGAUCUGUAGCUGGUCAGAGAGGACGACCAGCCACACGGGGACUGGGACACGGCCCAGACUCCGACGGGAGGCAGCAGUGGGGAAUUUUGGACAAUGGGCGCAAGCCUGAUCCAGCAAUGCCGCGUGCAGGAAGAAGGCCUUCGGGUUGUAAACUGCUUUUGUACGGAACGAAACGGCUCUGGUUAAUACCCGGGGCUAAUGACGGUACCGUAAGAAUAAGCACCGGCUAACUACGUGCCAGCCGCCGCGGUAAUAC